rnacentral:rRNA from 1 species
GACGAACGCUGGCGGCGUGCUUAACACAUGCAAGUCGAACGGAAAGGCCCUGCUUUUGUGGGGUGCUCGAGUGGCGAACGGGUGAGUAACACGUGAGUAACCUGCCCUCGACUUUGGGAUAACUUCAGGAAACUGGGGCUAAUACCGGAUAGGAGCUCCUGCUGCAUGGUGGGGGUUGGAAAGUUUCGGCGGUUGGGGAUGGACUCGCGGCUUAUCAGCUUGUUGGUGGGGUAGUGGCUUACCAAGGCUUUGACGGGUAGCCGGCCUGAGAGGGUGACCGGCCACAUUGGGACUGAGAUAUGGCCCAGACUCCUACGGGAGGCAGCAGUGGGGAAUAUUGCACAAUGGGCGGAAGCCUGAUGCAGCAACGCCGCGUGCGGGAUGACGGCCUUCGGGUUGUAAACCGCUUUCGCCUGUGACGAAGCGUGAGUGACGGUAAUGGGUAAAGAAGCACCGGCUAACUACGUG